rnacentral:lncRNA from 1 species
UCAUUUUGUAUCAAGCCAAAAAAAAUAAAAAAUAAGUUUGAGUAAUAAAAGUUUCUCUUCUCCAAAAUCUUUCUACUCUUCCAAAAUUCCCUUAGCCUAAAAGCCUCCCUCCAAAUAUUAAUAGCAAUCCUCUUCCAACAUAAUAGUGUAUAAUAUUGUAUAAGAUGUAUAAUAGUGUAUAAACACCUCUUAUAUAUUAUUUUAUACAAGCUGAUACAUUAUAUACAUGGUGUAUCACUAAUAUUAUUACUACUAUGCUUAUACAUUUUUAUAUAAAUA